rnacentral:tRNA from 1 species
GACUCUGUAGUGAAGUUCAUGUUGAGUUGCAAGCUCAUUGAUGCGCAUUAAUGGUGUGCCAGGGUCU